CAGUCGCCACGGGAAUACGUAGGUGGCAAGCGUUGUCCGGAAUUAUUGGGCGUAAAGGGCUCGCAGGCGGUUUCUUAAGUCUGAUGUGAAAGCCCCCGGCUCAACCGGGGAGGGUCAUUGGAAACUGGGAAACUUGAGUGCAGAAGAGGAGAGUGGAAUUCCACGUGUAGCGGUGAAAUGCGUAGAGAUGUGGAGGAACGCCAGUGGCGAAGGCGACUCUCUGGUCUGUAACUGACGCUGAGGAGCGAAAGCGUGGGGAGCGAACAGGAUUAGAUACCCCCGUAGUCCCUGUCUCUUAUAC
rnacentral:rRNA from 1 species